UAGAUUAGCAUAGAUGAUAGAUUUGCAGAUCCCUAAUCUGGAAUCAAGAAGCGGCUGCGGUUCUCCCCCUUCACUCUCCUUCUUCGCCGCCGGCCAGGUUUUCCGGCGUCCUCGCUCCCUCCGUCGAAUUUCCUCACAUCCAUGGGAAACUCUCUCUCAAAUGUCAUAUCUGUAAAUCCUAGAUCGGGGAAUCGAGAAGCAGCGACUCCGUCCUCGUCUCCGGCUGCCCGACGAACAGAUCCACCGCCGCCUGUCGCCGUUCUCCGCUGCCUCCUUCGCGAGGCAGCCACGACACUCACCGGCGACUCUCGCCGGCUCCCUCCGUCCAGCGCCGGUUCGUCGACACGCGGCGCUUCCAUCUCUCUCUCUUGCUUCGCACACCACUCUCUCUUCGACCGGUUCCGUCACUGUUUCACGGAGUCCGCACGGUGGCUCCAUUCGUUGCCGGCAGCCUCUCGUUUAAGCUAAGUCUAAUUUCUCAUUUUUCCUUGGUUAUUAGUGUUAAGCUUCUCAUCUUGGGUUUUGAGUUUCCAAGAUGAAGUCUUAGUAUGCAUAGCUCACUGGAUUGAGCAACAUCUUUGGUAUUUUGUAAAUUAUGAUGAGGUUAUACCUGGUUGAUUCUGAUUGUUACUGCCGUUGUUGAUGCUCAUCCUAUGUGCUACUUACUUAGGCCAUUGCUGUGAGGAUCCUAAUGAGCUUCUAUGUUCUUGGCUAUCUACUUGGUCUAUAUGAUGCGAUGGUGUGGUGUUGUGGUGACAGUGAAGAAAAGGGGCUGCCUUUGUUGUUACUCUCUGAUUUUGCUACUGUGAUGGGAGAAACUUAAGUAUAUAAACAAAGAGUAGUGUCCUUAGAAGGGAUUCAUGGCUGCUACUACAGCUUGGCUUUACAUUGCAGCAAAUCUCCUAUUUGAUCCAUUUUUGCAGCACUUAAAUUCAAAUUGCUUUGGUGUUCUUUGAUGGUACUUGGCAUUUAAACCUUUUGUUUGUUCUUGCAUAGAGUACAAAGAGAGUGCAGUGGUUGCCUUGAGGGAAAGGUCUUGUUCCUUUGGGAGGGAAAAGCAACUUGGCUGCCACAUUGCUGUUCGAGGCAUGGGCUCGUUGCCCUGGCCCGACGGGCUAAUCGGACACGAGCCGUGAUUUGGGCUUGAGUAACAAAGGCCCAAAGUGCAAGCAAUAAGGAUUUUUAAUUUCUUAAACUCCUUGGCCCAUUCAAGAGUAUUUGUAAUAGUAAUAUCCCCUAUUUCUUAAAACUUGUUUUAGUUGAUUCGAUUAUUACUCUAA